rnacentral:rRNA from 1 species
AACGAACGCUGGCGGCAGGCUUAACACAUGCAAGUCGAGCGCCCCGCAAGGGGAGCGGCAGACGGGUGAGUAACGCGUGGGAAUCUACCCAACUCUACGGAAUAACUCAGGGAAACUUGUGCUAAUACCGUAUACGCCCUUAGGGGGAAAGAUUUAUCGGAGUUGGAUGAGCCCGCGUUGGAUUAGCUAGUUGGUGGGGUAAAGGCCUACCAAGGCGACGAUCCAUAGCUGGUCUGAGAGGAUGAUCAGCCACAUUGGGACUGAGACACGGCCCAAACUCCUACGGGAGGCAGCAGUGGGGAAUAUUGGACAAUGGGCGCAAGCCUGAUCCAGCCAUGCCGCGUGAGUGAUGAAGGCCUUAGGGUUGUAAAGCUCUUUCACCGGAGAAGAUAAUGACGGUAUCCGGAGAAGAAGCCCCGGCUAACUUCGUGCCAGCCGCCGCCGUAAUAC